GGAGGGAUGGCCGAGUGGCUUAAGGCGGCGGUCUUGAAAACCGCUUCCCGUGAACCGGGACGUGGGUUCGAAUCCUACUCCCUCCG
rnacentral:tRNA from 1 species